AACGCACCUUGCGCUCCUUGGUAUUCCGAGGAGCAUGCCUGUUUGAGUGUCAUGAAAUUCUCAACCUUUCUGGCUUUUGCUAGUCAGGCUUGGAUUAUGGGAGCUGCUGGCUUUUGAAGUCGGCUCUUCUAAAAUGUAUUAGCAAGAUCAUUGCUGCUCAUCAUUGGUAUGAUAAUUAUCUAUAUCAUUGAGAGUCAGUUUCCUUUAUUGGAAGAUUUUGCUCCUAACGGUCUUUAGCAAGACAACAUUUGACAAUUUUGACCUCAAAUCAGGUAGGACUACCCGCUGAACUUAA
rnacentral:misc_RNA from 1 species